AAUUCCUGCGGUGGAUCCCAAAGAUCCCAUCCCAGCUGAGCUGCCCCUCUGGGAAGAGCUCCAGCUCCGGCUGCUCUGGAUCCCGAGCCCCAUGGAAAAGAGCUGUUGGCCCGACCUCCCAGCCAAGGCUCCCCGCUUCAUCCAGGUUAUUUUUAACAACUCCCCAGGGAUCAGAACUGUUGGAUCACGGGAGCGAGGAGUGGAAAGGAGCUCUGAGCUCAUGGAGUCUGUGCUGGCCAGGGCAGCCCGGGCCCUGCAGCUCCCCCGGGCUCAGCUCCCAGCCCGGGCUCCCUCGGGAGAUUUUCCUGCUGGAGAGCAGAGCUCCCCCCAGCUUUGUGCUGAUGGCAUCUCGGAAAGGAGAGACCCAGCGCUGGCCUCAGCUGACUGAGGGGCUUGAGGCUGAUCUGUGGGAUGGGAUAAAGGAUUGGGAGCUGCCCUGCCUGGGCCGUGGGGGACACGGGAAUGCUGCUCCGUGAGCCCGGGAAUUGCCAGGACGGGAUUUGUCCAGCUCCAAACCUCUCACUCUUCCCUGACCCCAAACCCCUCGGCCUUCCCCGAUGCUGUGCCAGCCCUGAGGCUCGUGAACAAGACGAACAAAAAGGGCAGCCCAAAAUGUGGACGGGCUAAUUAGCUGCAGCACGGCUGUUAAUUGCUUUUGAGGCAGAAAUGUCUCAGCUCUCCCUGCAGACAUCCCUGCCUGGAGCACACGAGUUCCUCCUGCACACCCACGCUGCCCAAACCUGCCCUGCUUCCCCCUGGCACCGUGCAGGGAGCUGGGAUGGCUGCUGGGGGCUGCGCUGGUCGCCAGGGGCUGGGAUGGGCGCUGGGGGCUCCCGUGGCCUCUGGCCCUGCCCAGCCAAGGUGCCCAAAGCCCGAGGUGCCCUCGAUCCCUGGCGGCGCUCGGCUCUGCCCCAGCCUUAUCUGCCUGGAGUAAUCACAAAUAAUUGGUGGCUCCCCAGUGGCCUGAUCUAAUAGCAGCACGAAUAAAGUUAUUUUGAACAGUU